rnacentral:rRNA from 1 species
AGGAUGAACGCUGGCGGCGUGCUUAACACAUGCAAGUCGAACGAUGAAGCCGGAGCUUGCUCUGGUGGAUUAGUGGCGAACGGGUGAGUAACACGUGAGUAACCUGCCCUUGACUCUGGGAUAAGCGUUGGAAACGACGUCUAAUACCGGAUACGACGCGCGAAGGCAUCUUCUGCGCGUGGAAAGAAUUUCGGUCAAGGAUGGACUCGCGGCCUAUCAGCUAGUUGGUGAGGUAACGGCCCACCAAGGCGACGACGGGUAGCCGGCCUGAGAGGGUGACCGGCCACACUGGGACUGAGACACGGCCCAGACUCCUACGGGAGGCAGCAGUGGGGAAUAUUGCACAAUGGGCGCAAGCCUGAUGUAGCAACGCCGCGUGAGGGACGACGGCCUCGGUUGUAAACCUCUUUAGUAGGAAGAAGCGAAAGUGACGGUACCUGACAGAAAAGCAACCGGCUAACACGUGCUAGCAGCCGC